GACGUAGGGCGCAAGCGUUGUCCGGAUUUAUUGGGCGUAAAGAGCUCGUAGGCGGUUUGUUGCGUCAGCUGUGAAAACCUGCGGCUUAACCGUGGGCGUGCAGCUGAUACGGGCAGACUAGAGUUCGGUAGGGGAGACUGGAAUUCCUGGUGUAGCGGUGAAAUGCGCAGAUAUCAGGAGGAACACCGGUGGCGAAGGCGGGUCUCUAGUACGGUACUGACGCUGAGACGCGAAAGCGUGGGGAGCGAACAGG
rnacentral:rRNA from 1 species